GACAGAGGGGGCAAGCGUUGCUCGGAAUCACUGGGCGUAAAGGGCGCGUAGGCGGGAUGGCAAGUCGGUCGUGAAAUCCUUCGGCUCAACCGAAGAACGUCGGCCGAUACUGCCGUUCUUGAGGGAUGCAGAGGAGAUUGGAAUUCCCGGUGUAGCGGUGAAAUGCGUAGAUAUUGGGAGGAACACCAGUGGCGAAGGCGGCUCGCUGGACCGGUUCUGACGCUGAGGCGCGAAAGCAUGGGGAGCGAACAGG
rnacentral:rRNA from 1 species